ensembl:lncRNA
GUAUAAUUUCAUUCCUAUUGCCGGUUUUUUUUUUUGAAGCGCAGAUAGAUUGACAAAAGAGAAGGACUGUAUGCUGGAAGAUGAAAUUACUGUCAAGCGAUAUCACGGCGCAUUGAAACGAUUGUCGAGAAACACAAAGGAGAGCUUCUCCACGCGGAGUGUGAAGGAAGCGGGGGGCCGGAGGUCGUAUCCACGACGACGGCGUCUAUGCUUCGAGGCGGGGGUCACCGUGUCGUCGACCGGACCGCGAGCCAAUCAGUGUCUGAGUGUUCUGAUAGGCCCUUAUUGUAUGUGUAUGUGUUUGUGUGUUUGUGUCUAUGUUAAUGUACGUGUGUGUGUGUGUGUGUGUAUACGUGUGUGUGUAUACGUGUGUUUGUGUGAACGUGUACAAUUUGAACAUGUUUAUAGUGUGUGUGCGUAUGUGUUUAGUGUGUAGCGAAAACAUGUCUCUCCAAAACUUCAUCUUGCCAGACUAAGACCUCAUAUCACCGGACACACACAGUGCCCG